GACGAACGCUGGCGGCGGGCUUAACACAUGCAAGUCGAACGGAAAGGCCCUGCUUUUGUGGGGUGCUCGAGUGGCGAACGGGUGAGUAACACGUGAGUAACCUGCCCUUGACUUUGGGAUAACUUCAGGAAACUGGGGCUAAUACCGGAUAGGAGCUCCUGCUGCAUGGUGGGGGUUGGAAAGUUUCGGCGGUUGGGGAUGGACUCGCGGCUUAUCAGCUUGUUGGUGGGGUAGUGGCUUACCAAGGCUUUGACGGGUAGCCGGCCUGAGAGGGUGACCGGCCACAUUGGGACUGAGAUCCGGCCGAGACUCCUACGGGAGGUAACAGUGGGGAAUAUUGCACAAUGGGCGGAAGCGUGAUGCAGAAACGCCGCGUGCGGGAUGACGGCUUUCUGGUUGUAAACCGAUUUCGCCUGUGACGAAGCGUGAGUGACGGUAAUGGGUAAAGAAGCACCGGCUAACUACGU
rnacentral:rRNA from 1 species